rnacentral:rRNA from 1 species
GACGUAGGGUGCGAGCGUUGUCCGGAUUUAUUGGGCGUAAAGAGCGUGUAGGCGGCCAUGUAGGUCCGGUGUGAAAACUCGAGGCUUAACCUCGAGAUGUCAUCGGAAACCAUUUGGCUAGAGUCCGGAAGAGGAGAGUGGAAUUCCUGGUGUAGCGGUGAAAUGCGCAGAUAUCAGGAAGAACACCAAUGGCGAAAGCAGCUCUCUGGGACGGUACUGACGCUGAGACGCGAAAGCGUGGGGAGCGAACAGG